UAACACAUGCAAGUCGAACGAGCGAGAGAAAGCUUGCUUUCUCGAGCUGAGUGGCGAACGGGUGAGUAACGCGUGAGGAACCUGCCUCAAAGAGGGGGACAACAGUUGGAAACGACUGCUAAUACCGCAUAAGCCCACGACCCGGCAUCGGGUAGAGGGAAAAGGAGCAAUCCGCUUUGAGAUGGCCUCGCGUCCGAUUAGCUAGUUGGUGAGGUAACGGCCCACCAAGGCGACGAUCGGUAGCCGGACUGAGAGGUUGAACGGCCACAUUGGGACUGAGACACGGCCCAGACUCCUACGGGAGGCAGCAGUGGGGAAUAUUGCACAAUGGGGGAAACCCUGAUGCAGCGACGCCGCGUGGAGGAAGAAGGUCUUCGGAUUGUAAACUCCUGUUGUUGAGGAAGAUAAUGACGGUACUCAACAAGGAAGUGACGGCUAACUACGUGCCAGCAGCCGCGGUAAAACGUAGGUCACAAGCGUUGUCCGGAAUUACUGGGUGUAAAGGGAGCGCAGGCGGGAAGACAAGUUGGAGGUGAAAUCCAUGGGCUCAACCCAUGAACUGCUUUCAAAACUGUUUUUCUUGAGUAGUGCAGAGGUAGGCGGAAUUCCCGGUGUAGCGGUGGAAUGCGUAGAUAUCGGGAGGACACCAGUGGCGAAGGCGGCCUACUGGGCACCAACUGACGCUGA
rnacentral:rRNA from 1 species